UGGUCUCCCUAUAUGUCAAAAACUUGAAAACAAGAUGGCACUCUUGCCGUGAUCAAUUUCGGCGGGAGGAGAUGUAAAAAAAAGGACGUAGUGGCGAUAGUGGUGAAAAAAAAACAAAACAUAUCUAUACACCCAGCAACUUCAGUU